rnacentral:lncRNA from 1 species
CAUUGAUCCGACUCCAAAUCCGAAAUCCGAAAUCCAAACCCGACGGAUAUUGAAAAUCCAUAUCCAAAACCCGAAAUCCGAAUCCGAACCCGAAACAAUUAUUUCUCUUUGCAAUAUUUCAAAAUAUAUUAUAUUAAAUUUAAAUUUUUAAAAUACAAAUUCAAAUAUAAUAUUAAAUUUUCAUAUACAUAUUAUAUAUAAUGUAAAAUAAAUUCGGAUUCGGAUCGAGUUCGGGUCGGGUUCGGGUUCGGGUUCGGGUCAGAUACAGUCAAAAUCUAUAUCCGUAUCCAUAUUCGUCGGGUUUUUAUUUUUGAUAUCCAUAUUCGGAAUCAUAUCAAUUUAGCAUUGGGUAAAUUCGCUCGGUUUGGAUUUGGGUUCGAAUAAAAUUUUAGGUAUUCGUACCUAUUGACACCCUUACUCGUUCUCGGUAGAAGCAGGAUGUCACGGGCUAACGCGAAAUUGCUCGUCUAGCUCGUGCGACGCUCCUUUUCUUCGGCGCUCCCUUUUUUUGCGAAAUGUGUAAGCUUAUCUCUCUACUUGCUAAAUCAGGACUGACUCGCCCUAAGACUAAGUACAAGCUAAGAGAGAGAGUUUGAGAAAUAUAGUAUUGAUAGAAGUUGAGGGCGUGUUUGGUUCGAAGUCAGAAUCGAAAUCGGAAUCGGAAUCAAAAUAAGCUGGAAUUAGAAUCGGAAUGACUUAUUAACUAAUUAUGUUUGGUUCAUCACCUGAAUCGGAAUCGGAAUAAAUCAUUCCCAUUGUCGGUGUUUGGUUCAGGUGGAUAUAAAAAAUGUAAUCAAAUUAAUAUACUAACAUUAUCUUUAUAAUAUAUUAAUUUAAAUUCAAAUUAAAAAUUAAAUAUUAAAAAUUUACAUCAAAAUUUUGAAAUAAUGCCAAAAUUUUAAAUCUAUUUUUUUUAAAAAAAAUUAAACUUUGAAGUUGAGUGGAUAAUUCAAAAUAUGAAACUAAAUUUUGAUUUAUUCAAAUUCAAAUUUAAAAUUACAACUUAAAUUUUAAUUUGAAUCCAUAAAUUUAAUUUAAGUUUGAAAUAAAAUUUGAAUAACAUUUUAUAUAAAUUAAAAUUUAAUUUAAAUUCAAAUUCAUAAGUUAGAUUCGAAAUACUUGAUUAAAUUUUAAUUUUUAAUUUAAGUUUAAAUUAAAAUUUAAAAUUAUAUAUUUAAUUUUUAAAUUUUAACUCAUAUUUUAAUUAAAAAAGUUGAAAAAAUAAAUUUAAUCCGAAUAAAUAUCCAUUCAGUCCAGAUUCAACUUUCAAUCCGGCCUCCUAGGCCGGAUUGAACAAAGAGGUGAUUGGGGGAUUCCCAUUCCACUCGGGAAUUGGAAUCGGAAUGGAACUCCCGCGUACCAAAUACCAACAAACGGAUUUAUCCAUUCCGAUUCCGAUUCCAGGGUGAAGAAGAAGCGAAUCAAACAAGCCCUGAGAGUACAACUGAUUUCCUAAUAAGAGGGGGUGAAGGCAACAUCCUUAUAUAGGCCACUAGCCACCCAAGCUACAAAUGAAAAGGCACCAAUAACUAUAAGGCAAAAGAGGAAAGCUACGUGCUCUCAAGAGACUACCAUUAUUACCCACUUAGAAACUUUAAGGGACUCUUGACCCUUCGUCAUCCGCACCAUCAAUUCUGAGAUCCGUAUAGAAGCUUCUAGAAUGCCCUAACAAAACAUCCGACAAAACGCUCCUUCGGAGAUUGGGCCACUGUAAAAAAAAAAGUCAACGGAAAAUUUUUUGUCCGUGACAAUCUUAUU